rnacentral:rRNA from 1 species
CGAGAGAUCGUAUCCUUCAGUUCGGCUGGAUCGGAGACAGGUGCUGCAUGGCUGUCGUCAGCUCGUGUCGUGAGAUGUUGGGUUAAGUCCCGCAACGAGCGCAACCCUCGCCCUUAGUUGCCAGCAUUCAGUUGGGCACUCUAAGGGGACUGCCGGUGAUAAGCCGAGAGGAAGGUGGGGAUGACGUCAAGUCCUCAUGGCCCUUACGGGCUGGGCUACACACGUGCUACAAUGGUGGUGACAGUGGGCAGCGAGACCGCGAGGUCGAGCUAAUCUCCAAAAGCCAUCUCAGUUCGGAUUGCACUCUGCAACUCGAGUGCAUGAAGUUGGAAUCGCUAGUAAUCGCAGAUCAGCAUGCU